rnacentral:pre_miRNA from 1 species
UUUCUACUCCCUCCGUCUCAAAAUUCUUGUCUUAAAUUUGUCUAGAUAUGGAUGUAUCAAGUCACGUUUUAGUAUUAGAUACAUCCGUAUCUAAACAAAUUUAAAACAAGAAUUUUGGGACGGAAGGAGUACUUC